GGAAUAGAUCAGGAGUUUGGGAUAGACUAUAUUUAAAAUAGAUAGCCAACAAUGACCUACUGCAUAGCACAGGUAACAUAGUCAAUGUAUUAUAAUAACCUAUAAAGGAAAAGAAUCUGAAGAAGAAUUAUACACACACACACACACACACACACACACAUAUGAAUUGCUGUGCUAUAUACCUGAAGCUAACAUGAUAUUGGAAAUCACCUACACUUCAAAAAGGAAAAAAUAGAUGAGCUGACCUCAUGGAUUUCCUUAAGAUUUCAUUUCUAGGAAGAGGAAGGCUGGGAAGGGAGAAGCAUGUUACUCUGGAAAUCUAUUAAAUCUUUUAGUCCAGAAAGCAACAGAAUCAUUGGAAUAUGUAUAUUUUUUAGACUUGGAAGAUUAAGGAAGUCGUAAUAACUAUAAAAAAUUAAUCUUCCGUCCAAGGAAGGACGGAAGAUGGGGGGGUGGAACUAGUUAUGAAACAUGACCUUGGCUGGGAACAACGAACUGUUGGGCCAGAUCAUCUGGGGAAAUUCUUUCCUAUCAAGUGAUGUCUGACUUAUCCUGGAGUCUGUGCUCUUAUCCAUCAUAGUCAGCCUGAAGAAAAGGUACAUGUUUGUCGUAAGGAGAGCAGUCAAGACAACAGAGAUGGGGGUUUGUCCAGGUGGGUAACCUUGGGCAACAUAUCUCACAGCUCCAAGCCUCUGUGUGAUCAUCUAUAAAAGGGGCAUAGAUCUGGUAUCCAACGUACAGGUAGAGUGAUAGAUAAGGGAAUUCAUAUAGCACACUGACCACAGGGGCUGGUACAUGACUAGUGACUGGUACUGGUACUCGGUACUCGUACACGUGAGAAAUACAUUAAGAACCAGAAGAUACAGACUUCUUCUACUGCUUCUUUUUUUUUUUUUUUUAAACUGGUAUCAAAAAUCACAGUGAUAAGAUUAGGCCCUUUAUAUAUAGAUUGUAACUAUUUUAUAUUGUAAUGAGUACCAAAGUGUCUCUUGCUCAGGAAGUAGAAUAGAUACAGCCUAGAUCAUACGUCACUAGUUCUAAUGACGCCAAGACGACAGUUAUGGAUUGACUGUUGUUACCAGCAACUUGCCAGAUUCCAUGUGGUUUCAGAAUUUUCCCUCUGUGGGACUCAACUGUGCCAUCCACAGAAUAAGGAUUCAACUAUAAUUUCUAAUUUCUUAACAAAACUGAGAAACCUAAAGAAAAUUCUAAAAAUAAUCACCCAGCAUAUAGAAUAAACCCUUGCCUGGCUCUUACUGAAGGAAGAGUUUGUUCUAGGGGUAAAAAGUUUGAGUUACAGAAGUUUUUUUUUUUUAAGAGAAAUGCUAUUUCAUCAUGAUAUGAUACUAGUCACUGUUUAUGAGCCCUAUGACUCAGCCUGGGCCAUGUGCCUGACACUCAUCAGUUUAUUCAGUCUUCCCAACAGUCCUGCAAAGUCAAGAGUUAUAGCUUUUCCUUCUUAAAUAAUAAAGAAGCUGAGGGUCUCAGAGAGAAGUGACUCACGGGAUAUACCAGUUUCUCUGUUAUCUUGUUUCCCCCAAACCUUAUCAUAACAGAUAUACCUAUUAUGAGGUCCCUGUAACUGGAACAAAACAGCCAAUAGCGUCCUAUAGUGGAUUAUUUAAAAAUUAUUCUACAUAUAGUUUUUAUUGUAUGACAUGAUGACAUAUAAAUAGUUUCCUGGCUUAGUUCAAAUUACAGACAUUCUUAAUUACAUGCAAUAAUGAGCUUCAACCAUGUAUGCUAUGCUCCUUUUGAAAUCCUGAAACAAAGAAGACAGAGAAAUACAUUUGUUGAGUCUCUGUGCCCCUAACUCGGCAAGGUUUCCUCCUGGGUGAAGUCGGCCCAGGGCCAUUCUCCCCUCCCACAGGCUCAGGAAGACCCCUUUAGGAUAAGUCCCCCUGCCCUCCUCGUGUUUGUGCCGGCAAGACUGUUCAGCCUCCUGCUUGUGGGCAGUGAGGGAAGAUGAAGAAAUAACCCCUUUAAGUUGUUAAAAGAAAGGCACUUGGGAAAAGAUUAGCCUGGAACUAAGAACCUUUAUGGCAAUUCCUAAGUCGAGGUCAGCAAGUUUCAGAGAAGCCAGCUUGGAUGGAGACUCAGAUCAGGACAAGUCUGCUGCAAAUAACAAACAGAUGGGGGUGAAGCCCAGGCUCCCUGUCAUCUUGGUGGACUGCUUUCACCCUAAGAGGACCAGUCUGCAGAGGAGGUGAUAGACUCGCCAUGACUAAAGGCCAGCUACAGAGAGUCCCAACAGUUACUCUGGCCUUAACUGGCUUCCAUUAUGUACAAUUCUAGGCAUGAUUUUCAGAUUCCUCCCUUACAUUUCCUUGAGCACUCCAUACGCUUGCCUUCUCAGUGGUUAUUGGCUUGCAUCUCCUCUGAGAGGAAACUUCUUUCCUCAACUCCUCCUAUUUCAGGUCUCCCCGCCCCCAGUUCUUCCCUGACCUUCUUCUCUGUAAGGACUUUCCUGCUCUCCUCCCUUUAUUGUUUGUUCCCUUCAUGGCACGUGGUGUGAGUCUAAUUCCAAAUCUUUUUGUUUGUCUGUUUAUUGUCUGUUUCUGUCAUCAGUUUGUAAGUCCCAGAAGGGCAUGUCUGGCUGUUCACUGUUGAUUCCAGGGCUGAGUGCGGAGCUGGAGACAGAGUAUGUGCUCAAUAAAUGUUAGCCAAAUAAAUUGCUCCCAACUGCCCCCAACAUAUUUGGAAGAAAAUUUCAGCGCAGCCACGGAGUAAGGGAUUAUUAAGGGCCUUUGUAAAGAGCUUAAUUCAAUUUUUAAGGUAUCCUCAGAGAUGAACCCCAGGAGGAAAAGCCACAUAAGUUGGUUUGUGGUAUUUCCUGAAAAUGUCUUGAUGAGAUUGCUUAGCUGGCAUCCAAAAGCUAUGGGAAUGCUGCCCCUUUCAGAGUUUGUCUUUUCUCAGUCUUAUUUCCAACACGUUUAUCAUGAUACAAGUUCUAGAAAUACCAGAAGAGUUAGGUUUUCCAUUAUCCUGGGAUUACAUUAACGGAUUUGAAGGGCCGUCGUGGCAAUGCUGUCAUCUUGGCCACUUUACCACUUCUCAGAGAGAAAAAAUGAACAUGAAAUCUGUUUAGUUAUUAACAAUUCUAGUCAAGACGUGGGAGGAGAGGGUAUAAAAGCUAUUGGCCAGACUGAAGUUUAUAUUAGAGCAGUAAGUUCCAUUUAUUUGGAUAUUCCUAGGCCCCAUGACCACAAUCUAAGAUUUAGGAGUAUUGAAUUAUAAACCCAGCUCCAGAAUGAGCCAGGAGUGGCUGUAGCUGUGAUUGACUGGGGCUGGGCCUGGUGGAGCCUCACAAGUGGUUGCACUGACCUGCCGGUUGAAGUGUUGACCCAUAGCUUCGGGGCCAUGAUUAGAGCUGCAGAAUUAAUUUGAGCACAAGAGUGGACCUACUCCUUGGAAUAUGGGCCAUGCAUUCAGAUGGGGAAGAGCUGGCAAGGGAGGAAGGGAAUAUUCUCUUUCAUCCCUAGUAUUUAUAUAGAAUUCACUCAUUCCCUCACUCAUCCAAUUCAAAAUUAUAUUGUGAGUGUCUGUAUAGAAACUAACUAUACUAUAGCAGUGCUCACCCUGUACAGUAGUGCAGGACCAUAAAAAUUGCCCUGCAAACUGCAAUCGGAAAAGUGACCACUGGAAUCAAUGAGGAAAGUGUGACUGCUCCAUGACCUUUAAAAUUCUCUUACUAUUAGUUUUAAACAUACAAGGACAUGAAAAAAAUAUAUAGUAAGACUAUUAUUUAGUUAAUACUCUAAUUUAAAACAUUAGAAACUUUGAGAGUUAGUAUAAAAAACUCAAGAGUUAUUCAAACAGUGCUUGCCUUCUCUUUUCAUCAUAUAACAACACAGAACAAACAUACUCUCUAUGUCUUGGCAAAUGAUCAUAUUCCCUUUAAAAUUUGGAUCCGCUUCUAACAGUUUACCCUUUGCUUUCUUUAUAUCACUGUGAAGUAUCUCUGAGAGUUCCUUCCACGUGAAAUGGUUUGCAGAAUCACUUCUCCUGGGACAUCAUCUUCCCUUCCGUCAUGAACACUUUACUUAUUUAUGUCAAUAAAUUUGCCUUCACCAAGUUCCUCUGGCUGCAAAUCUAGACCAUGUCCAAUGGGAAAAACGUCAUACAGUCCACGGCCAGCUAUUUCUUCUAUAACUAUAUUUACAUUUAAGUUUGACUUCCAAGAUAAUCACUCUUCAUUUCUUUGCUGCACUUUAUUUUUUUUCUGGCUAAUUUCCUCUUUCAAUUAUCCAUAUUCAUAAAGUGCCAUAUGGGUUUAUCACCAGGAGACAAGGGGCAACACAAGUGCUGCUUUUGCUGUUUGUGUGUGAAAUGAGCAACAGUGCAAUGACCACUCACCAUGUCACUUGAAGAAGUGACAUAAUUUGUUACUGAUCAUAAUAACAGUAACAUAAUUUGUUACUGAUGUGAAUCUGUUUUUCAUUAAGUGAUCUGUGGACUGAAAAACCCAGCUGGGAAGUUUAUACUGUGCACAAUUAUUCAUAGUUCAUAUACCAUGGCCACAGUAUUGUUGGAGGACUGAUGUUAUAUAACUAAAUCAUGGUACUGAAGUCCGUGCACCUGAACUAUGUAAAAUGAGGACCCAUAAUAGGGGUAACUAGAGAACGUCAUGGUGGGUACGUAAUAGAAAUCCCCAACUUGUAGAGGCAUAGAAGGUUACUUGGAGAAGGUGACACACAAGCUGAGACUUGAUAAAUAAAUAGAAAUUAAUCUGACAAAGGAGGGGUGUAGGGAAGAUUGUUCCGGGAAGAGAUUAAAGCAGGUAUAAAGCUCCAAAUGUAAGAAAGUGCAUGGGGUGUAGGGUGGCAGCCAUGGUUGUUCCGGGCUGAUUGCGGGUGAUGAUCCCAGUACAUUAUUUUCAGGCUGCAGGCUGUUGUCCCUGGGAACCAGGCAGCACUGGCUGUGACUGGGAAUUUGGAAUGCUGUUUCAGGACAGUCACUUGAAGAAAGUGUUGAAGGGCCAUUAACCACUGCCCUCAGACCAAGAGGCCCACCUUUGGCAGCUAGGAAAGUCACCAGGAAAAUGAAACCAAACCAAACAAAAUGACCUUAGAUGCUGGUCUGCAUACAUAACCCAGCGAACACUAAUGGUUCAGAUGCAAGUGCCCUAAGUACAGGAUGGUAUAAAGCAAAGAGAAAACUCCCUUUUAAAAGUCACAAUUCAAAAGGCUGGUUCAAAUCUUUAAAUGACAAAUUGUAUUUCUAGUCAAUACAGAGUUCAGUAUCUUAAUCUAUUUGGCUAAAAUCUGAAUGGUUUCAGCCCAGGCAAUGCACUGAAAAUAUUCUCACUUAAUUUCCACCACACUCUUAUGAAGUUGCUAUUUUUAUUCCCAUUUUACAGAUGAGGAAACUGAGGUUAAGCCACCAUAGGGUCACAGAACUGGUCGCAUGUAGGACUUAUCCUAAAGCUUGUACCUUUACCUAAUAUACCAUCAGUAUGUUUUAUUUCAAUACAUGGAAAUAAACACAGAUGCCAAAUUGAGUGAUUAUUUUGUAUAAGAUAAACAGACCAAGAUAAAUGUUAAAAAAUAGGGCAAAAAUAUUCGAUUCGUAUAGAAAUUCAGAAAGAGAAUGCACAAGAGUAGCAGUUUUAAGAAAAGUUUUGCACAACUGUGUCCCAGACAUGAGCAAUGCAUUUAAGAUUCUCCUAGGAAAACAAAACAAUGAGAUUAUCUCAAUUAUUGAGUUAACCAUGAGAUUUCACCAUCUACAUUCUAGCUAUGAGUGAGACAUUUGUUUGAAUUAGAUAAGAAGAUAUAAUGUCAUUUGAAGAAGGCCCAGUAAAUUUAAUAACAGAGAUAAAUGAAACUGACAAUGAUCUCACACUUUAUAAAUCUAAACAUGGGACCAGGGUUAGGCAUAGGGACCCUAGCAGUUGAUGAAUGAGCUUUAGUGCUGCUUCUUACACCAUCAACUGGAGACCAGACAUGAUUUUUUAAUGUUUCUUCAAACCAAGGGGAUUAAAAAACAAUUAAUUCAAUUCCCUUUAAACCAAAGAACAGGAGCAGGAAACAACCCUGAACCUUCCCUCCUCAAAUAGCAGCUCUGUUGAUAAUUUAAUCACUAACUGAGUUGUGUAACUUGCCUAUGACAAAUGGUAAAACACCUACAAAUGUGGAAAUCUGCCGGAGCCUUCUUUCGUAGGAAGGGGAGAGAAAGCCUUCUCCAGCUCACAUAUACUUUCUAUCUCCCUGCCUUUUGCUCCCUGCCCACAACCACUGAAACUGCUUCUGUAUUAGCAGAGAAUAUGGGAACUGUUCUGGAUCUAGCAAGGAAGCGAAGUCACUGAAACAUUUAGGAUUCUCUGCUUCCCUCCCCACCCUUCCCCACCCUCACGCUAUACUUGUUAGUGGGUAGCUCCAUACUAGGCUGCACCAAGCUGAAAUGGCAGCACUAUGGAGAACACCAUGGAGAUCCCUUAAGAAAAUAAACAUAAAACUACCAUAUGAUCCUGCAGUCCCACUCCUGGGCAUUUACAGAGUAAACCAUAAUUCAAAAAAAAAAAAAAAUGAAUGGCAAUGUUCAUUGCAGCACUAUUUACAAUAGCCAAGACUUGGAAGCAACAUAAUUGUCUAUUGACAGAUGAAUAGAUAAAGAAGAUGUGAUAUAUAUACACAAUGGAAUGUAACUCACCCAUGAAAAAGCAUGAAAUAAUGCUAUUUGUGGCAAAUGGAUGGAUCUAGACGUGAUUAUAUUAAGUGAACUAAACAAAUAUCAUAUCCUAUUACUUAUGUGGAAUCUAAAAAAGUACAAACGAACUUACUUAUACAACAGUAAUAGACUCACAUGCACAGAAAAACUUAUGGUUACCAAAGGGACAAGAGAGGGUAGGGAUAAAUCAGGUGUUUGAGAUUAACAUAUACACACUACUAUAUAUAAAAUAGAUAACCAAGGAUAUACUGUAUAGCAUGGGGAACUCAAUGUCUUAAAAUAAUCUGUAAGAGAAAAGAACCUGAGAAAGAAAUAUAUGUGUGUGUGUGUGUGUGUAUCUGAACCACUUUGCUGUGCACCUGAAACUAACAACAUUGUAAAUCAACUCAACUUCAAUAGAAAAAAAAAACAAAGAAAAGAAGUUGAAAUGGCAAUCAGGAAUGAAUAUGAGGCCCUGCAUGAUCUGGUUUCUUCCUCAUUGUCCAGCUUUAUCUCAUGCUUCUUUCUACCAUGCUUGCUCCAGUGUUUAGUUUUAGACAUGGACAUUUAGAAUAUAAUUAAUCGAGGCUGGUCUUCCUUUUCUUAUUAACUGAAUCUUUUCUUUUUCUUUUUUU
ensembl:lncRNA